GAGGGCUUUGCGUCUUUGGCGCGGCACCUGGGCCGCGUUUAUGCAGCUCACUUCUGUCGCUGUCGAGUUGCAGUCUGAGAGCCGGGCUGUGACAGGAAGAAGAUGUCCUGUCCACGUUUCUUUUGUUAAGAUGAAAAAGGAACUUAAGUGAAGGGUGGAGAGGCCCAGAACGCUUUCUGGAGGAAAAACAAAAUGAAACAAAGACGUCAAUGAACAGAAGAGGGAGGGAAACGUGAGCGAGUGAGACGAAAGCAGGAGAAAAAUGG